GCAAGUCGAGCGGUAACAUUUCAAAAGCUUGCUUUUGAAGAUGACGAGUGGCGCACGGGUGCGUAACGCGUAUAGAACCUACCCUUUACAGGGGGAUAGCCCGGAGAAAUUCGGAUUAAUACCCCAUAGUACUAUUUAGAGGCAUCUUUAGAUGGUUAAAGAGAUUCGGUAAAGGAUGGCUAUGCGUCCUAUUAGUUUGUAGGUGAGGUAACGGCUCACCUAGACUUCGAUAGGUAGGGGCCCUGAGAGGGGGAUC
rnacentral:rRNA from 1 species